GUUUGCUCAUGUGGAAUAAUUUCAACUUCAUCCUCACUGCUCCUAUUAUCAAGGAAAUAUAAAGCAAUAAAUUGUCCAAUCACCAUUUGACUAAAAUAUAAUGCAGCUAAAGAAUCACAAAUCCCUCACGGCAACCCAAUCAAGGAAAAAAAGAAGGACAAAAAGGAAAGAAAAGAGAAAAAGAACAAAAACAAUACUGAGAGAACAUAUUAUGUGUCACUCAAGAUUAGUAACAAUGAAGAAGAUUUCUUUAAAUCCCAGUUUUCAAACUUCCAAUAAUGAAAAGAAACAAAUUUUAAAUUCAACCAAAUCUGCAGAGCAUGCAGCACUUAAUUGUCGGA
rnacentral:misc_RNA from 1 species